UACGAAGGGGGCUAGCGUUGCUCGGAAUGACUGGGCGUAAAGGGCGCGUAGGCGGUUAGGUAAGUCCGACGUGAAAUCUGGAGGCUCAACCUCCAGCGGUCGUUGGAAACUACUUGGCUAGAGUCCGGAAGAGGAGAGUGGAAUUCCUGGUGUAGCGGUGAAAUGCGCAGAUAUCAGGAAGAACACCGAUGGCGAAAGCAGCUCUCUGGGACGGUACUGACGCUGAGGCGCGAAAGCGUGGGGAGCGAACAGG
rnacentral:rRNA from 1 species